AGGAGAGUUUGAUCCUGGCUCAGGAUGAACGCUAGCUACAGGCUUAACACAUGCAAGUCGAGGGGCAGCAUGAUCGAAGCUUGCUUUGAUUGAUGGCGACCGGCGCACGGGUGAGUAACGCGUAUCCAACCUUCCCUAUAGUAGAGGAUAGCCCGGCGAAAGUCGGAUUAAUACUCUAUGUUUUCCAAUGCAGACAUCUAAAAUGGAACAAAGGCUUGCCGCUAUAGGAUGGGGAUGCGUCUGAUUAGGUUGUUGGCGGGGUAACGGCCCACCAAGCCUUCGAUCAGUAGGGGUUCUGAGAGGAAGGUCCCCCACAUUGGAACUGAGACACGGUCCAAACUCCUACGGGAGGCAGCAGUGAGGAAUAUUGGUCAAUGGGCGAGAGCCUGAACCAGCCAAGUAGCGUGCAGGAAGACGGCCCUAUGGGUUGUAAACUGCUUUUAUAUAGGGAUAAAGUGCACUACGUGUAGUGUUUUGUAGGUACUAUAUGAAUAAGGACCGGCUAAUUCCGUGCCAGCAGCCGCGGUAAUACGGAAGGUCCGGGCGUUAUCCGGAUUUAUUGGGUUUAAAGGGAGCGCAGGCCGACUGGUAAGCGUGACGUGAAAUGUAGCCGCUCAACGGCUGAACUGCGUCGCGAACUGUCAGUCUUGAGUGAGUUCGAUGUUGGCGGAAUUCGUGGUGUAGCGGUGAAAUGCUUAGAUAUCACGAAGAACUCCGAUUGCGAAGGCAGCCAACAAGGCCUUUACUGACGCUAAAGCUCGAAGGUGCGGGUAUCGAACAGGAUUAGAUACCCUGGUAGUCCCCU
rnacentral:rRNA from 1 species